UAUCCAUGGUGGGGACAUAUAUUUAACAGAUCUUUAAAAUGCUCCCAAGCUUGAUAGAGCGUUUCGUUUUCCUUCUGAGCGAAAUUUGAGAUCUGUCGUUUCAAAUU
rfam:Morus notabilis contig9888, whole genome shotgun sequence.